UGGGGAAUAUUGGACAAUGGGCGAAAGCCUGAUCCAGCCAUGCCGCGUGUGUGAAGAAGGUCUUCGGAUUGUAAAGCACUUUAAGCUGGGAGGAAGGGCAUUAACCUAAUACGUUAGUGUUUUGACGUUACCGACAGAAUAAGCACCGGCUAACUCUGUGCCAGCAGCCGCGGUAAUACAGAGGGUGCAAGCGUUAAUCGGAAUUACUGGGCGUAAAGCGCGCGUAGGUGGUUUGUUAAGUUGGAUGUGAAAUCCCCGGGCUCAACCUGGGAACUGCAUUCAAAACUGACUGACUAGAGUAUGGUAGAGGGUGGUGGAAUUUCCUGUGUAGCGGUGAAAUGCGUAGAUAUAGGAAGGAACACCAGUGGCGAAGGCGACCACCUGGACUAAUACUGACACUGAGGUGCGAAAGCGUGGGGAGCAAACA
rnacentral:rRNA from 1 species